AGAGCGCAGUGCGGCGCACUUCAACGAUCUCAGUCGGAUGUAGACAACAAUCGGCAGCAGAACAGAACACAUCACAAGGUAGACAGAUCUUAUUGGGGCCAUACUUAUACCCCGUGCAUCGACAAUACCUACCUGUAUUACCUGAGCUCCUGAGAUUCCGGGCGACAUGUGGAUGACGGGAAGCAAGCAGCGGCGGUGCAAUUUUAGCAGUAGCAGAAGGAAUGUGGCAAGAAGGACAUUUGGCAGUUGUAAAAACAAGUUUGCAAUCGUUAUGCAUUUUGCUUGGAUUUAUUUAUAGACGCGGUAUUGGUUUUAAGUAUUAAAUACAUGAGAGAUACAAUUAAACAACAAAAGAGUGUACGCGAGUGUUGGUUCUUACCAAAUAUUCAAAUGAAAACAAAUCAAUUCAGUUUCAAAGACAUCGUAAAGUGAUCGAACAUAAAAACACAUCGGAUAAACAUAAACAUUACAGAUAAAAGACAGAUAAGACUUAAAACGAAGGUCGCAUGAGUUUUUAUGAUUAAUUUUUUAGUAAAGCUUCUCGCCACAAAGGAAAACGUGUAACAAAAAGUAUUAAAAUUGGCGCAAAAGCGGCAUUUACUUCGAGAUUCGUUUGGAUUUUGUACACGAAAUGGAUGAUUGAUUGCUGGUGAUCGAUUACGAAAGUGUGUGACAAACAAUAGAGUAACGAAACGAAUUAGUAAUAAUAAAAAGCGGUAAUAAAAAAUGAAUAAUAAAAUCUCAUGCAACAUCACUACAAAAUAAAUAAAAUUCAAUUAAACGUAAAUUCAAUUAAAGUAAACAAUAUAAUAAUCAUUUUAACAUCGUCUACUAUCGAAGUCAUCAUAGAUGGACCGAAGGACUGGAGCGUACGAUUGUCUGUUCGGAGUUGCUGGGGGACUACGGAACCUUAAUCAUCGCUUAAAAUUCGAAAUCUGCCUGGCAGCUAAAUAUAAAUAUAAAUCUCGGUGCAUCUAUGAAUCACAGAGGCUCUCGGCUUGAUGACUGAACAGCCGUAACUGAUUAAUCUAAUUAAAUUCUUUUCUGCACCAUUAACAGAAUCAUCAAUUCAUGUUCUUCUCUAAUGACCAAGAGGAUGAGUCGCCCGACUAACAUCGGUAUAUCUCUCAUCUCUGCCUGAUCCACCUUAUAGCAGCAGUAGCAACAACAAGAGGUAAUCUAUCAUGAUGUUUUCCUAUAGAACCUAGAACCUAGAACAUAGUACCUAAACCAUCCACGUAUGCCUAAGCAAAUAUAUUUAUUCGGUUUCGUUG